CACCCAAAAGCACGCUUCUCUCUACCAAUCAGAGGACAGAGUUUCUUCCACCAAUCAGAGAGUUCAGUUCAUCAGCUCUGAGGGGUUACUAGCCCAAUGGGGAGGAGUUUGGUUGUCUGUGUGGAGGCCGGAGUAGAAGAUCCUGGAGUUCCAAGCCUUGAAGGGCGGGACUUCUGACCGAGAGGCAGGCCGGGGCUCCUUUUGUGGUCCUACUGGGGCGGGACUCUUGGACCUGGGAGGAGCCGUUCAGGGGAGACCCACUGGAAACCCGAGCUCUGGUAGCAGACAUCACUCUUCCUCCAGGAAAGCGAGCCAGCUGUGUCCGUGAGAAACCCAAAAACACGUGACUAAGUUUUCUACCUGCUCAAAAAUCCCUGCUCCACCAAAAGCACCAACAGGAAGUAAAGAGCACUAAACAAGGAACUCCACCCAAUUUAUCCUGUCUACAUCAGCACAUACCGACAGGAAAUUCUCAUAUCUCACUGAUAGAAUCCAUACCUAUGAUUUCAUAGGGGGAAACAUUUCAUAAGAGAGAUCAUAACUGCUAUCCCUGCCUUCUGUGGAUCAGCUGAAGCCUAGAAUAUUCUGCUCCAGAUACUCAUCUUCAACUAUGUUAGGAGUCACUGACAUUCAAGGAUGUGGCUGUGGACUUCACCCAGGAGGAGUGGUGCCUCUUGGACCAUUCUCAGAAAGAGCUGUACAAGGAGGUCAUGCUGGAAAACUCCCAGAACCUGCUCUCCCUGGAUGCAGAGACCAGGAUUGGAAUGAAUGAGACUACUACAAGACUGAGCAUUUCUGUAGAAGAAUAUCAUGACCCAAGAUUUAUGAGUGAUGGUCCCUGUGAUUUUAAUUUGAGAGAAAUCCAUGAAUCAGUUAUAAAAACAGAACAAAAUUUAAAUAGUCACUGUAAAGAUAGAGAAUGCUUUAUUGAAAAGGUUAGCCUUAUUCAGUCUAAUGAGAAGCCUCCUGAAAUGCAAAUAUAUCAAUAUGAUCAACAAGAAAAGGCCUUCAGCUUGAAUUAAAACCUUAUUACACAUCAGAAAAUUGAUACUGGAGAAAUGCUUUAUUUAGGGAAUGAAGGUGGGAAGGGCCUCCACCAAAAUGCAAAGCUCAUCAAUCAUCAGAAAAGUCACAUUGCUAGGAAAACUUAUGAAUGUAAUCAAUGUGAAAAAACGUUCACAGAUAGGGCUGGACAUGCUAUGCAUCAGAGAAUCCACAUUAGAGAGAAACCUUAUGGAUGUAAUCAAUAUGAAAAAACUUCCACACAGAACUCCUGUCUUUUGAAACAUCAGAGAAUCCACACUGGAGAAAAACCUUAUGAAUGUAAUCAGUGUGGAAAGGCUUUUACACAGAACUGCAGUCUUGCUCAACAUCAGAGAAUCCACACUGGAGAGAAAUCAUAUAAAUGUAUUCCUAUGUGGAAAGACUUUCAGAACAAGAUCCAUUCUUCACAUUCAUGAGAGGAUUCACACUAGAAAGAAAUCUUAUGAAUGUAAUCACUGUGGAAACAGUCAUUCAGAAACAGAUCCAAGCUUGAUCUUCAUCAGAGAAUCGACACUGGAAAGAAACUUUAUGAUUGUAAUCAAUGUGGAAAAACUUUCAAAAGAAAAUCAAGUCUUUAUGAACAUCAGAGAAUUCACACCAGAAAUAAACCUUAUAAUUGUAAUCAUUGUGGAAGACUUUCCGAACAAGAUCCAUUCUUGUUGAAUAUCAGAAAAUUCACACUGGAGAGAGACCUUAUGAAUGUAAUCAAUGUCAAAAGGCUUUCAUAUCUAGCUAUUGUCUUGCUAAACAUCAGAAAAUUCACACUGUUAAAAACCUUAUGAAUAUUAAAAAAUGUGGAAAGGCUUUGAGAUGCAGCUUUGAACUUGCUAACCAUCAGAAAAAUCCUCCAUAGAGAGAAAUGACAUAUAUGUCAUGAAUAUAGUAAAGCUUUCUAUGACCACUCUUCUCUUAUUGCACAUCAGAGAAUCCACACUGGAGAGAAACCUUUUAAAUGUAAUCAUUGUGGAAAGGCUUUCCCAUAUCAGGCCAAUCUUGCUAACUAUCUGAGAUUCCACACUGGGGAGAUACCAUAUGAAUGUAAGCAAUGUGGAAAAGCAUUCAGAGAUAACUCCAAACUUGAUGCACAUCAGAGAAUCCAUACUGGAGAGAACCUUAUGAAUGUAAUCACUGUGGAAAGACUUUCAAAAUGAGAUCCAUUCUUGUUGAACAUCAGAGAAUUCACACUGGAGAGAAACCAUAUGAAUGUCAUCAGUGUGAAAAGUCUUUUAGAUGCAGUUCCUGUCUUGUUGUACAUCAGAGAAGCCACACUGGAGAGAAACCUUAUGAAUGUCAUCAGUGUGGAAAGCCUUUCAGACAGAGGGCCUCACUUGCUCAACAUCAGAAAAUCCACACUGGAGAGAAAUCUUAGGAAUGUAAUCAAUGUGAAAAAGCUUUCAAACACAACUCCAGUAUUCCUCUUUCUUAAAAAAUUCACACUAGAGAGAAACCUUAAGAUUAUCAUUAAAGUGGUAAAGCCUUCAAGUAACAGUCAUCCUUAUUUCUUACCAGAGAAUUCCUAUUAGAUAAUGAAUUUUAUCUCUAUAAUGAAUGAAGAAACGCAUUUAAGUGAAGCACAGAGCUUGUUCAACAUCAGAAAGUUCAUUUUGGUGAAGCUAUCCUAUAUGGACUCAAUGGAGGAAGAUCUGCCUGAGAUUCUCUCAUACUUUACAUCAGAGAACUGGAAUUUGUCCAAUUGUUUGAUGGAGUCAUGAUUUUUUUUUCUUGAAGAAGGAAAUUAAAAUAUACAUACUGAAAAGGAGGAUUAUUAAAGCAAUGUCUUGUCAACUUCAAAGUCUUCAUGUAGAGCUCAUCCUUGAUUAUAGUAGUAGUAGUAGUCUCUCGGUAACUGAGAAUGACGAUUGUCUUUGUGUGUUUUCAUCUAUGGUGUAUAGAUGAGUGUACCCAAAGACACUUGUGCGUGAAGGAGAUUUAAGUGGAAAAGUCGAUGCACAGAGACAGUCCCACUCUCUCGGCGUUGGAAGCCUGGGUCCAGUGGCACGAAAAGUCGUUACACCUGGAGACUUCCUCAGCUGCAUUGGAUGGCCGUGUUGUCCUUUGUGCUCCAACACACCCUAAGCACUCCACAGUGCUUUGCUGCGUCGCCAUCUCAGCCAUUGAACUUUCUUAUUGGUUUCUUCUGUCUGUUCAGCCGAAGCAGUUUUCACAUGCUGGGUGAGCAAAGCCCUGGUUCACCAGGGGUCUAUGACCCGAUGGCUAGGUCAUGGAGUGAGAAGAUUAUAGGUCCUGCUUGUACAGCAGCUCUGGAUUCAUGGGGUUCUCACAAUUUCAUCUGUAAGUCCUCUAUAUAUGAAGCAAUAGAAGUGUCUCUCUUCCCCACCCCCUGUAAUGAUGUGUAUGCAAGAGGAAAAGGCUUAACCUGUAUAGAGGAUAUCCUAAAAGCAUCUUAAAUGGUGAGAUGUGUAGAUCUCCCCUGGGCCUGCUUUGAAGAUAAAAGAGAGCCAAAGGGAGAAUUUCAUGCUAUUUUAAGUGAGUCUCAGUGCACAGUUUUCCAAUUAUAGUCUUAAGAUCUCUAUUCAUUCUCUCAACUUGGCCUGUGCUCUGGGGAUGAUACAGUACAUGGAAUUUGGGAAUGAUCCCCAAACAAGAAUAAAUCUGAGACAAAACCGAAUCAGUAAAAUGAGUUCCCCUGUCUGAAUCAAUUCAUCUUGGCGAGCCAAAGCAAGGAAUAAUUUCUUUUAAGACCUUGGCAAUAAAAGUUGCUGUUGCUUGGGCAGUAGGAAAUGCUUCAGGCCAUCUAGUCAGCUGAUCCACUAUGACCAGACAAAAUUUAUAAUGUCUAGCCUUUGGCAUCAUGAGAAAGUCAAUUUGGUAAUGCUCAAAAGGUGUGUAAGCCAGAGGACAUCCACUGAAAGCUUUGCUACAAAAGGCAUGUUUAUUAUAGGCUUGACAGGUAGGGCAGGCUGCCUCUAGUACCUGUCCAGAGUACCCAGGUGUUAAAGUUUCUCCCUGGCCUCAGAAAUCUAGACCUGAACCUCUCUGGUUGGCUACCUAUCAGAUCCCAGGCAUAUGCUCCCUGUCUCUACUUGCCUGCUAGUGUCCCAGAUUAGUGGUUUCAAGCCUAAAUUCCAGUACAUGGUCCCAGGAGUCCUCCUCAGCUCCCACUUAAACUACAGGAAAUAGAUAACUAUCCUGCUUUCCGGAUUCAGUUGCCCUCAUGGAACCCUUCUGUCACUCUGGGGUACCUAGAUUACCCUGAGCUUUGUUAUAGCAUUCUUCCUCCUAGACCCUAUCCAGGCUUCUUUCACCAAGGCCUCCUGCCUUCUUGCCUCUGGUUGGUAUCUCAGAUAGGAAGAGACCAGAUAGAGCCUCAAAACUCCUAAAUCAGAGAUCUUCCUCCAGUGAUACUUUCCCCUCCCUCUAUCCCCUCCCCUCAGGUAAAACACACAAAAUUCAACUUACUGAUCUGGGAGGGAGGGAACGAACAGCCCCUGGGCCCCAGAGACCUCCAUCCCAGAUGAGUGCUAUUUUUCCAAAGACUCAAUUGAUGUCAGCAUAACAGCAGGUGUAACUAUUUCCAUAGACAUAGAGGAUUGUUUCUUUUUUUAAAAAUUAUUUUAUUUUAAUAUCAAAUUUUCACAUGAGUUUUCAAAAGUUAUAUAAUCCAGAUUGUCUCCUUCUGUUCUUCCCUGCACCCUCCCAGAGCUGGCAAGCAAUUUAAUGUGGGUUAUGUAUUACCACGCAAAAUAUCCUACCAUAUUAUUCAUUUUUUAAGGGAAUUAUAAACCCCAAACCCUAAAACAUACACCCAAAUAAACAGGUGAUAAAUCAUAUGUUUUCAUCUGUAAUCCUACUCCAACAGUUCUUUCUGUGGAGAUGGAUAGCAUUAUCUUUCAUAAAUCCCUCAGAAUUGUUCUGGAUCAUUGUAUGUUAGUAGCAUAGUAUAUCACAUUUGAUCAUUUCAUAAUAUUUCAGUUACUGUGUGUAAUGUUCUCCUGGUUCUGCUUAUUCUACUCUGCAUAAGUUCAUGAAAUUUUAAAAAAAGAAGUGGCAAUAGUGUUCUCAGACAAAGCAAAAGCAAAAACAGCUAAUUAAAAGAAAUGAUCAAGGAAAUUACAUCUUGUAACGGGCACCAUAAGCAAUGAAGUAAUGUCAGUACUAAAUAUAUAUGUGCCAAAUGGCAUAGCAUCCAAAAUUUUAUAAAAGUUAAAUGAGUUACCAGAAGAAGUAGACAAUAAAACUAUACUAAUGGGGGACCUCAGCAUUCUCCUCUCAGGAACAGAUAAAUCUAACAAAAAAUAAAUAAUAAAAAAAGAAGUGAACAGAAUUUUAGAAAAUUUAGAUAUAAUAGACCUCUGGAAUAAAAAGGAAAAUACAUUUUUUCUCACUGAUACAUGACACUUCCACAAAAUUUGACAUAAAAAAACUCACUACCAAAUGCAGAAAACCCAAAAUGUUAGAUGCAUCCUCUUUUCUUUCAGAAAGCCCCACAUUAAAUUUUCAUCAAUAUUUUAUACUUAUGACAUUAUAAUUUAUAUUUAUUUUCAAAUUCUAAAAUAUAAUACAAUUUCAAAUUUUAUAAUAAUACAUUGUAAUGGAAAUAUUAAUUUGGAGUUUUUGCAGUAGCAAAAUUUUCUAUAUCAUUAUUAAAAGCACUUAAUGUGUCAUUUAAUAUAAAUAUUGGGAGUAGUUAAUGACUUAGCAGGGAUAUUCACAGCACACUUCUUGUUAAAAGGAGUUUUAAAAAGAUUUUGGGAACCACUGCUCUGGAAUAAUGGUUGUUCAUUACAUUGAUCAGUAUUGGUAUAAUAGAAAUUGCAGACAGUUUUCACUUUAGGUAAGUGAGACAUUCCUCAGACCUCUAAAUGAAGAAUUUUUUUAUAUAAUGUGGAUAUGCUCCAUACACCCCUUAUAAAGGAAUUCUUUAUUCCUUUUUUAAUUUAACAGAUGGGUAAGGAUUAACCAGCCCACAGUGACAGGAAGUAGGAACCACGGAGCCCCUGCUAGGCCAGCAUGAGUUGGUUGGAGCUGUCAGUUGUAGUCAAUUGCUGACAGGUCUGUCAGUUGCGAGAAAGUGGGCUGCUCAGUGUGAGUUGGUGGUUGGCAUUUAGUUGCUAGGAUAUAAAGGUGGCCCUGAGCUUACUGAGAGGGCUUUUGGCUUUAGCCUUUAGAAAGCUUUUUGCCUUUUGGGUUUUUGGCUUUUGGUUUGGGCUGUUAGGUUAUUUUUCCUUCCUUGAACUUUUUGGAAGGUGACUGAUCUUCGCUGACAGACCUAAUUGGGGUUGGAUUAAACACUGGUUGGGUUGGUUUUGAUUGGGUGGAUUGGGUUGGAACUUUGUGGGAUGGUUAUUAUAGGUAGAUAUAGACAGUUUUAGGUAGUUACAGGCAGUUAUAGGAUAACUAGCAUAGACAUUAGGAAAAUAUAUUUCUCUACCUCUUUCCUAUAUUUCCCUCCUUUACUGUAUUCUUUUACUAUCUCUAUUUUAAUAAAACGAAGUUGUUAAUUGUUAAAAGCUGCUAGAAGUUUUCUUUUCUCUGGAUUAAAGGGAUAAUAUUAAUUUUCAACUCUACUAUAUCCUCAUUAAAACUUAAGUUAUUAAAAGCUGCUCUUUUAUUUUUUCAAACCCCUAAUUUAACCCUUACAAAUGUGAAGAUGAGAUUAACUCCCCCCUGCCCAUUUUUAGAUUUAAUCACCAGAAGUGUAUAUACCCCACGGUCUGUGGUCUGUGACCCACGUGUGCUAUAGUGGGUGAUGAAUCAGAAUUGACUGACUGCCCCUGGUCAAUCCUAAGUAUAACUUAGCUGUAAUUGGUACACGUAAAAUGGAGGGAAGUCACAGGAAGUGACAAAAAGAAAUGGUCUUUAAAAAUGCCACGAACUUCCUGGGAAGACGUCUUUCACCUUCAACUUGGUCUUGAAGGAGCUCCAGUUUGAGACCUCGGACUGCUCUUGAACUUUUCCUUUAGAACUACCACAUGAGGUUAAUGAAAAAGGCUGACUCCUUUCCUGGAUUUUCUGAAGGGACUAGCCUCAGGAGAGGCCUACCCUAUUGAGAGAGACUUCGUGCAUUCUGUUAAGGUAAAUUUUAGGGUUGUUGACUAAAUAUAUUAUAUUAGUGGUCGCCAGGGAUUAAAAUUCAAUCCCAAUGAAAUAUUCAAGACAGUUUGGGAUUUUAUGGUGGUUUAAUUACAAUAGAAGGAAGAAAUUAAGAAGAAGGAAAAGAAGGAAAGGGUAUAAGAACUUAUCCACUUUGGCCUAAGCCAAGGGGAGUUCAGAGACCUCAGCCAAGGGGCCUUCCCAGAAGAUUAAAUCUAGCUUGACUUCCAGCCACAAGGCCUCCUCCAAGAUGAGGGGCCUCCUCGGAGGAUAGUGCCUUCAGGAGGUCAAGGAAAGGGGGAGUCAGCCUUAUCACUCACCAAGGCCGAUUCAGGGAAGAUGCCUCACCUAAAUCACACUUACAGAGCUCCUCCCAGUAACUCCACUGCCAAGUCCGCCAACACUGAAAGCACAACAAACACCGUCAAGAGCUCCCAACACCACCGAGAGAGAGAGAUCAUAGGAAGUGACGCAAAAUAUAUAGGCAGUUCUUUACAUCACUUCCUGUGUCUCACAUGUACCAAUGGUGGCUUAAACUUGGCUUAGGGCAGCCCAGGGGAUCAGUCAGUUGUUUCUGAUUUGCCACUUGCUAGCACAUGUUGGUCAUAGGCCAUCCUCCCCUACAGUUAAUCCUUAAGUGGAGGAGUAUACAUUCUUUGGUUGCUAAAAUUCUAAAGACUAAGCAGGGUGGAGUAAAUCUAAAAUUCACAAUCCCCAGAUCCUCAGCUCAAGGCUAAGAACUAAUUAGCCCUGCCUGGGUUGAGCCAGGGGCCAGAGAAAAAUACUUAGUGUGUAGGUUAGAUAUCUUACCCUCUCCUCUCUCUGAUUUUCUUACUUUCACUCUUUCUAUAUUUUAUAAAUAAAUUGCUAAAAAAUCAUUUUGGAAUUGAUUAAAAUUCCUGGUGACCCUACUUUUAAAUAAUCCAGUCCAACCUUUUAUAUUGACCCCUUACAUUUCUGGCCCUUACACAACCCUAACCCUAAAUUUGCCCCCAACUAUAAUCCUAAUUUUGCAUCUUCCUCCAGCUCUAACAGUUAUCUUAAAUCAAUCCUCUGACCUAGCUCUAACAUAACUCCAAACCUAACUAUUUUUUAAAUAAUUUUUUUGAAAUGGAGAUUUCUUUUAGAACUUUUUACAUAAAGUUGAAUUUGUGUAAUGUGAAUUACAUAAAGCAAGAACCAUCUAUUCUGCUGGUUCUGUGCAGUUAUCUCUAUACCAUCUCAGUCAAUGCUUUUCAGUUAUCUUUCUCUGAAACUGCUUUUAAUCAUUUCUAAAGAGUUGACAAUCUUCCAUUAUAUUAUUAAAUCAUCAUUUAUUCAGUCAUUUCCUGAUAUAUGAGCCCUGUAUUGUUUUCAGUUCUUUGUAGCAAUAAAAAGUAGCAGUUAAAA